rnacentral:rRNA from 1 species
GACGAACGCUGGCGGCGUGCCUAAUACAUGCAAGUUGAGCGCUGAAGGUUGGUACUUGUACCAACUGGAUGAGCAGCGAACGGGUGAGUAACGCGUGGGGAAUCUGCCUUUGAGCGGGGGACAACAUUUGGAAACGAAUGCUAAUACCGCAUAAAAACUUUAAACACAAGUUUUAAGUUUGAAAGAUGCAAUUGCAUCACUCAAAGAUGAUCCCGCGUUGUAUUAGCUAGUUGGUGAGGUAAAGGCUCACCAAGGCGGUGAUACAUAGCAGACCUGAGAGGGUGAUCGGCCACAUUGGGACGGAGACACGGCCCAAACUCCUACGGGAGGCAGCAGUAGGGAAUCUUCGGCAAUGGACGAAAGUCUGACCGAGCAACGCCGCGUGAGUGAAGAAGGUUUUCGGAUCGUAAAACUCUGUUGGUAGAGAAGAACGUUGGUGAGAGUGGAAAGCCCAUCAAGUGACGGUAACUACCCAGAAAGGGACGGCUAACUACGUG